UGCCCAAGCCAUAUAAGGAGACCAAGGACCUCAAAUCCCUCCGAUGUGGGACAACUCAACACCCCCCCUCACGCCCAGAUCUCUGGAGCAUGGACAACAUGAAUGGGGGCCCAACAUCGGUAACAAUAAUUGGGAUGGGCCUGGCUCUGAUACCAUGAUAAGAAUGGACCUUGGGAUAAGAAUGGACCUUGGGCCUAACUCAACCCCAAAAGCUAGAAAAGAAUGGACCUUGGGCCUAACUCAACCCCAAAAGCUAGCUUAUGAGGUGAGGAUUGCCCAAGCCAUAUAAGGAGACCAAGGACCUC
rnacentral:lncRNA from 1 species